AACGAACGCUGGCGGCAUGCCUAACACAUGCAAGUCGAACGAGAUCUUCGGGUCUAGUGGCGCACGGGUGCGUAACGCGUGGGAAUCUGCCCUUUGGUUCGGAAUAACAGUUGGAAACGACUGCUAAUACCGGAUGAUGACGAAAGUCCAAAGAUUUAUCGCCAGAGGAUGAGCCCGCGUAGGAUUAGCUAGUUGGUGUGGUAAGGGCGCACCAAGGCGACGAUCCUUAGCUGAUCUGAGAGGAUGAUCAGCCACACUGGGACUGAGACACGGCCCAGACUCCUACGGGAGGCAGCAGUGGGGAAUAUUGGACAAUGGGCGAAAGCCUGAUCCAGCAAUGCCGCGUGAGUGAUGAAGGCCUUAGGGUUGUAAAGCUCUUUUACCCGGGAUGAUAAUGACAGUACCGGGAGAAUAAGCUCCGGCUAACUCCGUGCCAGCAGCCGCCGUAA
rnacentral:rRNA from 1 species